rnacentral:rRNA from 1 species
UACGAAGGAUUCGAGCGUUAUCCGGAUUUAUUGGGUUUAAAGGGUGCGUAGGUGGAUUAAUAAGUCAGUGGUGAAAGCCCGCAGCUUAACUGCGGAACUGCCAUUGAUACUGUUAAUCUUGAGUACAGUUGAGGUGGGCGGAAUGUGUCAUGUAGCGGUGAAAUGCUUAGAUAUGACACAGAACUCCGAUUGCGAAGGCAGCUCACUAAGCUGUAACUGACACUGAUGCACGAAAGCGUGGGGAGCAAACAGG